rnacentral:rRNA from 1 species
ACUUUUGGCAGGGAAGAAAAGGUUCUGGCUAAUACCCGGAACUGCUGACGGUACCUGCAGAAUAAGCACCGGCUAACUACGUGCCAGCAGCCGCGGUAAUACGUAGGGGGCGAGCGUUGUCCGGAAUUAUUGGGCGUAAAGGGCUCGUAGGCGGUUUGUCGCGUCGGGAGUGAAAACUCGGGGCUUAACUCCGAGCCUGCUUCCGAUACGGGCAGACUAGAGGUAUGCAGGGGAGAACGGAAUUCCUGGUGUAGCGGUGAAAUGCGCAGAUAUCAGGAGGAACACCGGUGGCGAAGGCGGUUCUCUGGGCAUGACCUGACGCUGAGGAGCGAAAGUGUGGGGAGCGAACAGGAUUAGAUACCCUGGUAGUCCACACCGUAAACGUUGGGCGCUAGGUGUGGGGCUCUUUCCACGAGUUCCGUGCCGCAGCUAACGCAUUAAGCGCCCCGCCUGGGGAGUACGGCCGCAAGGCUAAAACUCAAAGGAGUUGACGGGGGCCCGCACAAGCGGCGGAGCAUGCGGAUUAAUUCGAUGCAACGCGAAGAACCUUACCUGGGUUUGACAUAGAGAGUAGUCCUCCAGAGAUGGGGGGUCCGUAAGGGCUCUCUACAGGUGGUGCA